rnacentral:lncRNA from 1 species
CUCAGAAUUCGCUGGAGGGCUCGUUACUACGCAGGCAGCUGGGCCCCACCCCCAGUUCCUAUUCAGUGGGUCUGGGGUUGGGUCCCAGAACCUGCGUUCUCACAAGUUCCCAGCGACGCAGAUGCUGCUGAUCCACCGACCGCACUUUGAGAAUCCCUGGCCUAGAGCCUGGGUCUGCAGUGCGCGGAGGACACUCGCUGCCCGGAAGGAUACAGCUCAGGAACAACCAGAUGGAAGAGAUGCACAGGGCAAGGUGUGGGGAAAGGAUGAGGAGUUUCCCUGCUCUCUGAACGGACCACUCUCCCCAGAUCUCCAUGUGGUCACCAACCCAGAAGCUCUCUGAACCCCAUCCUUUUAGGUUUUCAUGGAGGCUUCAUUACACAGGCUAGGAACUGAUUGCUGCGCGCACCUGUGACCGCCCAGCUCCAGACAAUCAACUAGCCUCCUGCUACGCCCACCAAGAUAGCUGACCACUACCUGCUGUGUCCGUCAAGCACUGUGCCGACAGGGCAAUCUUGUGACUAUUGUGGGAGGGACAUUUCAGUCACAUGUGAAACACCCUGUUUGGGGGUAUAUAACCACUAUGUGCACCCCACUUCUUGGGUGCCCUUUCUUCCUUCGGGAAGAAAGGCCCCGGGCCAUGGUUCCUCAUAAAGCUUUGUUUAAUUUUCUCUUGCUAUUCUGUCUCAUGUGAAUUUAAUUCGUUCUCCAGCCAGACGAACCCACAUUUGGGAAGAGGAAAUGUCUUCCUCCCCUACAAUAUGUAAUGUUUACAUUACUAAAAAUUUUUAAUAUUAUUAUUCUAGAUUUUUUGCAAAUUUUGUUUUAUUUAUACGUUGAAGCAAGAGUUGUUUAAGAGACAUUAAAAAAAUUUUCCAAGCUAUCGAA